GCCUUAUACUCUAGAGGAAAUCAGAAAACCCUCCAGCCCAGUUCAAGAAUAAGCCUGUGGAAAGUUACUUCUUUAAAAGCAAAAGUAUCUCAUAUCAUCUUUUCUCCAUUUGCUUCUCCUUAUCCUUAUUGCUAUUUAUGACACAUGGAGAAGGAGAACAAUCAACCGGAAGCCAAAGUCGAACCUCAAAUCUAGGUUGCUUGCUUGGAAGUCUGAUUGCUUACCUUGUCUGUUACCUCAUUUGGCAAAUCUCCUAGCUCGGCAACUUGGGGGACUCCUACUAUAAGGUUUGUAUCGCACUUGACCAAGCCUGAAACUACAAGUAAGCUUCAAGUGAAAUUGAUACAUUACCUUAUGCAUCUUCAUCGAUUAAAGAUACCACCCCUGGAUAGAGGAAAAGUACUUCUAGAGAAGAUGCCACAUCUACAUAUGAGACAGAUAAGGCAAGUGAAAAUGAUACCAUACUUCGAUACUUAGAAGUUUCGUGAUUACUCAAUGGCUUGGAUCUUGCAAGUCCCCAACCGAGGAGCUUCCCUCACUCAGGAACUUAGGGGAGCACUGUUUGUACCAUACUUGACCAAUCCCGAAACUACUAAGCAUCGGUCAACGUUAUACAGUCAAGGACCCAGAAGAGUUUCCCUCAAACCAGGAGGCCAAUCAUAGCACGACACGUGUCGACAUUAGAAGCCAAUCAUAGCGCGACACAUGUCACAUCAAAAGCCAAUCACAACACGACCUGUGUUAAUGUCAGAAUGAAACUAGAAACUCUCUUCUAUAAAUAGAGAUCAUUCUCUCACAAUAUUUCCUAAUGUCAUUUGUACUAAAUCAUUCACUAGUACUCACUAAAUGAGAGCUUGAACCUAUGUACUUAUGUAAACCCUUCACAAUUAAUGAGAACUCCUCUACUCCGUGGACGUAGCCAAUUUGUGUGAACCACGUACAUCUUGUGUUUGCUUCCCUGUCUCUAUCCAUUUACAUACUUAUCCACACUAGUGACAGAAGUAAUCUAGCGAAGGUCACAAACUUAACACUGUCUGUUGUACCAAAGUCCUCGCUGAUUUUGUGCAUCAACAUUCCUGAUCAUAGGAUUGCUAAUUAGGCAUUGAAAGUCUGUUAAGAUCAAUACGUGUUACGUCUUCUCUUAGGGAGAGUGACUAGUCUCAAGUCAUUAGUGUGAUUGACACUAAGACAAGCAUGUAGUUGCUCAAUAGUGAGUGAGUCCACUAAACGAAAUCAACAAGGAGUUCUCAUACUCAUGUCACAUGAGAACUCAUGGUUGGGAUAAUGCAAAGUAGUCCUUUGACCUAAGGCAUCAUAGUUGUCUUAUGGUUAGGUCCUUGAUCUUUGACUAUGUCAAAGUCACUCCAAGAAAGGGUGUCCAUGACAUCGUUGGGGUUAAGCCACUUAGCCAUGGAGGCAAGUGAAUGCACCACAAGGGACCUCUAACCUUCAAACCAUUUGACGGAGAAUACUUUAUGAUAUGAUUAAGAAUCUCUAGCCAGAGUGUGAAUGAGAUUUAGGAAGUCGUUGCAAAUCACAUUCAAGGUAAUCAUAUAAGUAAAAGAAUCACAUUGAAUAGUAGACAUGAAUAAACUAUCAAACCAAACAAUGUGGUCAAGAGUAUUGUAUUAGAAAAGAUCAUAUUACAUUGUAAUCCUAAACUGAAUAGGUUUUCCACCUUUUCUGAUUAGAUUGGGUAGCCAUGAUAUACUGCUAGGUGUCACUUAUGGUUUGUGGAAGCCCUAAAGGUGUAUAAUCACUAAAGGGAGAAUUGAAAGCAUGUUUCAAUUUACAAUCGAUUUGAAGAGUUCUAAUCACCCACUAGCUCACUAAAAGGAACCUAAUGGAUCGUACACCGUGUAAGGUAGAGAUUGAAGAAUCAACAGAGAUGAGUAAGGAUAAUUAAAUGGUUUAAUUAUUUAUGGCUAGGAUUAAUUAAUAUGUUAAUUAAUCAAACGAAUAAGUUCGUUUUAGCUUUUGAAUAUUUAUUCGACCUCAAGGCCAAUUGGGCUUAGAACCGUCAAGACCCAAAAGGGCGCAAACAACCCAAAGCCUUUAGAAGGCUGGCCAUAUUGUAAAUGAAUGGGUUUUGGUUCUUUUUGUCACUUAAGUGAAGUGACUAUAUAGAGGACUUUAUAGCCAAAAGUUCAUAAAAGGGUUUUCAAGAGAGAAAAGAUGAGAACACAAAGCUCUCUCUUCUCUUAGGAGGCCGGCCACCCUAGAGGAAAAUAGCUAGUAAUCUUUCUUCCUCUAAGUCACUCAUCUCUUCCUCAAUGCACUCCUUGGUGUGGAGACUUAGAGGUUCCCUAUUUUGGUUGGAGAUUCCAUUCCUUCAUCCAUCCAAGAAGUCAUGGAGCCCAGAAGUAAAGUUCCUCCAUCUACAUCCAUGGAGUCAAGGAGCAAAGAGACUGAGGAAAGAAGGCCCUCACAUGGAUGAAUAUCCUUUACUAAGCAAAGAUGUGAGACCCCGUAAUAUUUAUUUUCUGAAUGUGACCUACCAAGUAUUUUUCCUCUCUCCACUAUUAUUAUUUAUUCAAGCCAUGUAGUUUGUAUAUAUCCCUCUGAUUCUUGUAUUGACAGCACCACCUUCCAUUUCAUCCUUCUCAUCACUUUAGCAAUCAUUACGAGUGCUUAUUGUGCACUCUAUUGUGAUGAUCGUAUGUAGCUAUUAACUUAUAUGUGUUGCAUGCUUAAUCCCUGCAUUUGAAACCUGCACCUACAAUUUGAUGACUCUUAUACUUGGUAACCCAUGUUCAUGACACCUCCAACUUAAGUGGAACAUAGCAUGUAGCUGUCAAUAUCCUGGAUGACUUCUUACAUUCUAUUGCCACCAUUUCAUUGAAAGGCUUAGUCAUGCAUUUAACAUUAAUUAUAGCCGACUCCAAUUCCCUAUAAAUAGAAGCAAAGGCUCUAUUCUUUUGAAACCACAGAAGCAUGCAAUGCAUGCAUUACGUAGAGAUGAUGUAUAUAUAGUAUAUAUCUAUGUAUAUAUAUGUAUAUACAUGUGUGUGUGUGCGCGUGUAUAUAUAUUAUAUGUUUAGAGAGUGAGAUUAGAAAAGAAAAUAGAGUGGAAGAAAUACAUGGCAUUAGGAGUGAUCAAGGAGCUUGCUCAAGUACGUGAAGUCUAGCUACUACAGUAGUGACAUGGAUCUUCGUUUUAGCUUUGGAAUCGAGGUAUUGGUGAGGAAUAUUGCUUGCUUGGCUUGGAGACUAGGUAGGGGGAUCCUCACUUACCCUAGUUGUGGAAUUUUGUGCAUGUAUGUAUAUGUAAAUAUACGAAUGCCCGUGAAAGCUGCAUAGAUUUUGUUGUGAUAGAACCAUGAGGAAAAAUGGUUUUGUUUUAUAUCAUGAUAUGCAUGUUGUUUUAUGCUACAAAUUAAAGUGCUGACUUGAGAGUGAAGGGGGCAUAGCGACCGCCUUGGGUUUCGAUCCCUUAAACCUCUUGAGGGGCUAUUACGAAGGGAUUAGUACCGCUACCUUUCUAGGAAAGGUACUUGGAUAUCUAAGGGUAAAGCAUUAAAGGACACUCUCGCUACACCUUACCAUAAGUAUAUUCGUUCGAAGUUGGUCCAGGUAAGGGGGUAGUCGGUCAUUGGACCGGUCAUCAGGCAUGUAGCGAUUUAUUGGGAUCCCUAUUUUCUUUUUAAAAGGAAAUUGUGUGAGCAUACAAUAUAUUUUUGAAACUAAAGCUUUUGUUGUGCAUCAAUCAUUUUCCUAUAGUAUAUAUAGUGUUAUAUACUAUUUUCAAACCUAGCUGGGGUGGAUUCCCUGAGGGGGAGCGAUGAACGUUUGUGAUACUCACCCCUACUUUAUUACUGGACCGGUGCACCUACAAAUAAAUGAUCUGGACUAAAGUCGGAACUAGCGUUGUUUGUUACUUGUCAACUUCUUGGUCGUUCAUUGCCUCACUGUCUUGAAAGAAUCUUUUGUAGCUAAACUUAGCACCUUGUACUCUCCAAAUCGUACCUAAGAGUUGGUUUAGUAUGAUAAUUACCUUUAACUCUUUGGUUUUGUUGUAGAUUGUGAAGUUCUUUUCCUAUAUAAAAAUUUUAUCCAAAUUUUGUUGCUCUUUUGUUCUUCGCUUUACCAAAAUGAUUUCCGCUUUCGUACUGCUUAAAAAUAAAUUAUAUUACUUCCCCUCGAAUAGCCUUACGUUCUAUUGGGAAUGUAAUGCUAUAGUGAUGGAAUUUAACACUAUCGUAUUGCGUUGCUAAUAGAGCAUGGCACUGUUAUGUGCCCCUUUUUGGGGCGUGAUAAAAGAGGUGCUUCAAAUGUAUAAAAGUUUCUCAACUCUUUUCUUUAAGAUUUCAGUUGCGUCUUGGUUCACCACAAAUACUAGGCCUUGAAUUUCAUGGGUAAAGUUUUUUUUUUGAGUGCAUACAAGCAUGAUUCCGCCUUUUAAUUGUUAAUUGCAUGCAUAGAUGUUGCUCAAAUGAACUAGUUUUCACAAAUUUUUCUUUCAAGUGGUAUCAGAGCCUAGGUCUAGUAGUUGGUGAAUCCUUUUGGGUUUUGUAGUUCAUAGUCUUUGAUUUGAAUGUUGCAAUUGUUACAAGCUUUAUUUUUGCUUGAAAAUUUACCAUCUCAAAUGUUGUAGAUGUAGUUCAUAUGAGCAUGAAUUUUGGAGCUAAAAUUUGGUGCCAUGUUUAUGGGGAAAUUCGGCCAAAUCUAAAGGGUGGAUUUUUGGGUUCAUGUUUGUCUUGUUAAAAGUGUUUUAAAGUGACUUUUAGAACCCCCUCUUUUAAGUAGUGAAAAUUUGAGUUUUAUUGAGUGAAAACAUUCAUGGAGCUCUUAUAUGUUUUCAUGGAUGUUCUUCAAUGUUCUUGUUUUGUUCUUGUUGUUCAUACCAAGAACAAAAAGUUUGUCAUUUUGAUUCAAAAAGGUGUUUGAUUUUUCAAACAACACCCAUACUUCUUUUACUAUUCACACCAUACAAAUCAAUUACAACUUCAAUCACUUUUCAAACACACAAAUCAACUCACACACACCAUCACUACUCACCAUGACCGGCCACGCCUAUAAUGGGGGUACUUUUGGGACUUUUAUGCAAUUACAUAAAGUUUUGAUACUUUUGUGUAUUUGUACUUUGACCCGAAAGUUUACAUUUUUACGUAAACGCCCAAAAUCACUAAAGGACAAAUUGUUUUGCUCCUUUAAUGAAGUUUUUGUAUUUGUUGAAAUUUUUGGGUUCUAGUUGUAAUUACAUGAAGUAGUGGACUUUUGUGUUUUUACAAAAUGACUCAAAAGUUUGUGUUUUGCAAUAUAGCCCAAAAGUUGAGGUUAUUGCAAUUUGUCCCAAAUUAAUUGAGAACAGAAUAGUUUUGUAUCUUUAAAUGAGAAUUGGAUUUUCAUUUCAUUUAGCUCCAUCUAAAUCAAUUCUAUGGAUACAAAAACCAAAUGAUAAUGUUGCAUUCAAGUUUAAUUAGUUAAAGCGUUAAUUAAUUAAAGAAAGGGUAAUUAUGAACCUAAGCCUACGAUAAUUGAGCUAUGUUAAAGGCCGUCUCUCAAAUUUGUUUGAACCAUGGGAAUAUGUAGAUUAGAUUUUGGUUGUAAUUUGAUAUGAUCAAAUGUUGUAAAAGAGCAUAAACUCUUCUUCACUUUAAAGUAAUUUGUUUUGAUCAAAUGUUUGUAACAGAGCAUAAGCUCUUCUUUACUUUGAAGUACUCCUUUCUUGUUUUAUUUGAUAUGCAUGAAAUUGGAGUAGUAGGGUCCAAUCCCAAUAAGAAAACAUGCCUUAAUGUGAUUAAAUGCGUAACUAAAAUCAAUCAGCAACCCUAGACCGAGAUCAAACACUAGGCUCAUGUUGGAUCGAAUCAAAGGUUCAUAGUCAUCCUAAGGCCCUAAGGCAACUAUAUAGUCCAUCAAUGAAUGCGAAGUUUAUGUUCAUAGUACCAUAUACUCUUGCUUUAAAAACCAUUUUACAAGCAUAGUGGGAGUAUCAUAUACUACUAAAUCAAUCACAUGAACCAAUAGUUGUAAUAGGACCAAAUUGUUUUAAUAAGAUUAAAAUGCAUGCUUAUAUGUGAUGAGACCUAAAACCCUCAACCAAACCGUUAUUAAGUUGGCAAGCAUGAGAGUGCUUUGAACACUCUUUCGUGGCCUUCCACUGUGGUAGGCUCCAAUCGUUUGUGACUCAUACACCGACUUCACCUUAUCAUGGGGGAGUACAAAGUAUGUGCCUACACUCAGGAGGAGUUCUAUACGCAUACAUGAUGUUGUGAAGGUAGGCAACAAAAAUGAUCAACAUCAUAUCAAUGUGAGGUUGUUCUUGAACCCCUACACUAACUUGCAUGGUGGGAAUAACUUAAGUAAGUGCUAUGGAGCCAACAUCGUAUCAUUGUGAGGCAUCAUUCUCUAGAGGCCAAAUAAGAUGGGUACUUACAUGAGAUGUAAAUGAGUAAGCGUACUCUCUCAUUAUUAUUGAUGCUAGCCAACAUCAUAUCAUUGUGAGGUGGGCUUGGUGAUAGUGAGCCUUUCAUACCCUACUAAGAGUUUCCUCCAAAACUCUUGAAUUCCGAUGAGGGAUAUGGAAUUUACCAAAAACAGUGGGUGGUGCUAUUUGAUUUAACGACUCAUAUCAAAUAGCUUAAAAUCCAUCAAUUUAUAUUCGUUAUGCAUUUAUUUACCGAUAUAUUUGCAAACACUAUCCAAAACUUGACAAAGAAAAGCCGAAGGCUUUAGUUUCCGGACUUGGUACCACAAUGAAGGAAUAUUUUGUGAAAACAUGUUCAUUUAAGCAACAUCAAUAAGCAUGCAAUUAACAAUUAAAGGCGGAAUCAUGCUUGCAUGCACUUAAAACAAAACAUUAACCAUGAAAUUCAAAGCCUAGUAGAUUGGUGAACCAAAACUCAACUCAAAACAAAGUAAGUUGAAAUUUAUACCUUUGUAGAUUCCUCUUUGCAUAAGCAAAGGCUAA
rnacentral:lncRNA from 1 species